rnacentral:rRNA from 1 species
AUUGAACGCAGGCGGCAUGCUUUACACAUGCAAGUCGAACGGUAACAGGCCGCAAGGUGCUGACGAGUGGCGAACGGGUGAGUAAUGCAUCGGAACGUGCCCAGUCGUGGGGGAUAACUGCUCGAAAGAGCAGCUAAUACCGCAUACGAUCUAUGGAUGAAAGCGGGGGACCGUAAGGCCUCGCGCGAUUGGAGCGGCCGAUGUCAGAUUAGGUAGUUGGUGGGGUAAAGGCGCACCAAGCCAACGAUCUGUAGCUGGUCUGAGAGGACGACCAGCCACACUGGGACUGAGACACGGCCCAGACUCCUACGGGAGGCAGCAGUGGGGAAUUUUGGACAAUGGGGGCAACCCUGAUCCAGCAAUGCCGCGUGCAGGAAGAAGGCCUUCGGGUUGUAAACUGCUCUUGUACGGAACGAAACGGUCUGGGUUAAUACCCUGGGCUAAUGACGGUACCGUAAGAAUAAGCACCGGCUAACUACGUGCCAGCCGCCGCAGUAAGAC